UUGAAAGGGAAACGAUUGAAGUCAGUCGUACCGGUGGGUAAUCAGCCUUUCGUGCGUGAUUAUGUGGAGCGUGAGGAGCUAAACACCCUUAUGCCUUCAUAUUCGUGCGCUUUGGGUGUACUUGCCCGCAUGGUAGGUUAACAUCAAUUUCGGGCACCAUAAAAUGGUUGGGGGAAUGUAGCUUCGACCUCGGUUGAAGUGUUAUAGCCUCCGGCAGAUGUGGUGACCGGGAUUGAGGAUUACAACGGAUACCCUUCGGGGCUACCCGUCUGAUCUCUGAUCGUUACUCUGGUGCCGAAAGCUUGCUUACGGUCAUCAAAGUUGAUGGUCAAUAGGUUAGAACGGGUUAAAUUCGUUAAGGAUGU
rnacentral:rRNA from 1 species